rnacentral:lncRNA from 1 species
AUAUAAUUGUCAUUUUUGGAAACCAUCUGGUUGAUAUUUUUCAAAGGUGAAAAAAAAGUGAAUUGGUGGAUGAGAUACAUCAGUACCUCUGAGCAGUUGAAAACACAAGCCUGGUGUCACACAGCUUGGAAAGCAAUUUGUCUGGGCUGCUGGCUGGCUGAGCAGGGUUACACACAGCGCACACGGUGCUGCUGGCUGGCAGCUGGCAAGUCAUCUCAAGGAUACCUGUUCUGCAAGGAACCAGAAAGGGUGGUUGUUACUGUGUUGGAACAGAAGGCUGGUAGCAGACAGAUGUUUGCAUGGUGCUCUCUUGCUUUCCAAGAACUCAAAAAUGGAUUUCCACCUGUAAAGUGAGUAGGAGAGGCACUGCCAUGGGCUACAGCUGCACAUAGGCAGUUGGGCAGCCACUGUUUUGGAAGGAGGGAAAGGAUAUUGGGUGGGUAAGUCAUGGAAAAUAUGAUAUAGAGCUUAAAAUUUGUGAAAUAAUGUAAUUCCAGCUCCAUCCCUUUGAGGGUAUGUUCAUUAUGGACUUACAUGACAAUUUUCCUUCUUACUGUCACAGAAACAGCAAACUUUUAUGGAUGAUAAGGAGUCCAGUUUUGACCUAAUGCAUUCUGAAACAGAAGUGAGAGUAAGUUUGAACAAUGCAGGAACAUUUAACUGGAAAUGGUUAAUUGGGGAAGAGCCACAGUUGUUGCUUAGGUGAUGUUCCCUGUUUGCAGAUCAGAGCUCUCAUUACAGUCAAUUAGUAGAAGGAUGGAAAUGAAAACAAGCAACUUUCACUAUUCUUCCACUGCUGAAAUUUGUGCAAACAUAUUUCUCCUCCAUUAGGUCACUGGUGUAAUGAAUUCCAAGCUAUUUCCAAGGAGUUUUUAAGAAUCAGUUCAUGCUCUGAAGAUAAGCACACCUCACUUUGAGUGGGUACAUACACUCUCUGCUGUCUGACAGCAGACAUGAAUGGCAUGAAAAAAACUAAUUCAGGGAGAAAAGUUGUUUAUUCAGCAGUCAUACAAUUCCAGCAUGGAAGCCACUGGCAUAAAAAAAUGAAAGCGAUUUAUGUAUGUACAUAAAGAACAUAGUGUGAAAUUCCCAUUUGUAAAGUGGUAUAAUGUACUACAGAGGCUUUUUAGUGUGAAAGAAAGGCAUCAGGAGCAAUUCUGAAACAUAUAAAGCUGACUGAUUGUCUAUAAUGCUCCUCAAAAAGAGCCAUGUGAGAAAACAAGGCAUCAAUAAAGGGUAUUGUAAAAUAUAUUAAAGCA